rnacentral:rRNA from 1 species
GAUGAACGCUGGCGGCGUGCCUAAUACAUGCAAGUCGAGCGAACAGACGAGGAGCUUGCUCCUCUGACGUUAGCGGCGGACGGGUGAGUAACACGUGGAUAACCUACCUAUAAGACUGGGAUAACUUCGGGAAACCGGAGCUAAUACCGGAUAAUAUAUUGAACCGCAUGGUUCAAUAGUGAAAGACGGUUUUGCUGUCACUUAUAGAUGGAUCCGCGCCGCAUUAGCUAGUUGGUAAGGUAACGGCUUACCAAGGCGACGAUGCGUAGCCGAUCUGAGAGGGUGAUCGGCCACACUGGAACUGAGACACGGUCCAGACUCCUACGGGAGGCAGCAGUAGGGAAUCUUCCGCAAUGGGCGAAGGCCUGACGGAGCAACGCCGCGUGAGUGAUGAAGGUCUUCGGAUCGUAAAACUCUGUUAUUAGGGAAGAACAAAUGUGUAAGUAACUAUGCACGUCUUGACGGUACCUAAUCAGAAAGCCACGGCUAACUACGUG